GUCUCUGUAGCGCAAUGGGUAGCCCGUUAGACAUCUAAUCCAAAGGUCGUGGGUUUGAAUCCCAUCUGGGAUG
rnacentral:tRNA from 1 species